rnacentral:misc_RNA from 1 species
AAUAAAAUCAAGUGGUAACACCGGUGUUGGUUGGUCUCUGGGGGUUUUAACACCCAAAACCGCCUUUUCCAUUGGUAUGUUUCUUUCAUGAUAAAGGAUUUAAAAAUUGGUAAAAUGUCGGAUUCGGAUUCGGAUGACCAAGAUUGGUUUAAUAAAGAUGAAGAAGAGAUUUUGCAAAGCUUCCAAGCCAAGGUCAGCAACAAUGAAUCGAAAAAUACCGAUGCUAGAGUGGAAUAUAUUCAUGGAUCGUCCGAAGCAGAUGACUACCUACAGCAAAAAAGACUUGAAGCUUCUUCGGAACUUUUGGCAGCACCUACCGUAAGGAAGCUACCAACAGCGGAGAUGCGUAAAGCAAUAAACAUGGAACCACUAGAAAUUUUUCUAUUUGUUACGACCAGUGAAUACGACUUUUACGCGGGUCAAAUAACGGCUAGCGAUGGCUUGGACCGGGUUCUUCUAUACUUACGUAUUUGGCAUGUGAUAUGCAAGUUGGAGCUUCCCGGCUUUCAGGAAGAACUAUUACAAAACUUCGUGAAAAAUGAAGCAUUCUUAGAACAAUGGCGAGUUAUAGUCGCUAAACUUUUUCGAAAGAGCUACAAAACGAUAUGGAAAAGUGAUGAAGAUGUAGAUGAAAUAUUAAAUGCAAUUAAGUCCUUAGUUUUGUGGGUACACAAAGGUGAACUCAUGACGCCUAAAAUUUACCACGUAAUAACACAUAUAAAGAAACUUAUAAAAGAAAGUGACAAUCGAGAUAUUGAACAACGUCAUGCCUGCCAACAAUUAGUGUUGGAGCUGGAUCGCAUAUUAUCUGUGAAAGGUAUGCAGUUAGAGGAAAAAUUGAAUGAAACUGAGAUAUAUCCCUCACUGGAUGAUCUUCGUUCCCGCAACAGCGAAAACUUUCAAACAACAAAUACGGUAAACAAAUUAGGAAAACAUAAAGUCGCUGAUUAUUUGACGAAACAAAAACAACUUCUUCGUGAAGAUUUUAUGAUACCUUUGCGCGAGUAUGUCUGUAAAAUAAAGAGUUCCAAACCACAUAGUACCACACCAGAGUUGUACGAAGACGUAUUCAUAGUUCUUAACUCCGAUUUCGUCAAUUCCAAGCGUCAUGAAUUGGUAUUUAUAGACAUUUUGGGCACAAAGCGAUCAAUGGACAACACUAAGGUAAAAUUAUCACGCAAAGUGAAAGAUAAAAUCGCUUCAAUAAAAGUUGGGUCAUUAUUACUCCUGACAACAAGCAAAAACUUCGAAGAUCUUAUUUUAGCCACGGUAACCUACACUGAUGGAGAACUUCUUUCUUUAGGAUAUGUUGGCAUUCAAAUUUUACGACAGGAGAACAUAGUCGCUGUGUAUGACCGGCAGUUGUUCAUGUUUGAAACGCCGGCCUUCUUUGAACCAUAUAACAACGUUUACAACUACUUGAAUAUAUAUGGUGCUGGUGAUCUGCCUAUGAAAAGAUACAUUUUAGAUGAUGAGAAAGAUGUUAAUGCACCUUGCUACCUUGCACCAGAAACGUUGUACUAUUAUGACAGAGAGCCAUUUCAGGUGACGGCUAAAAAUCCAUCCCAGCCGAAAAACCUCGCACUGAACCACUCUCAGUGGCGUGCAUAUUGCCAAGCUUUGACCAAAGAAUUUUGCCUUAUACAAGGUCCACCAGGAACUGGAAAAACACAUCUCUCUGUACAUUUAAUUCGCACUCUUAUCGAAAACGUCAAAACACCUAUUGCCUUAAUCACGUAUACAAAUGAUUCGUUGGAUAAGUUUCUGUUAAAAUUGUCGGCCUACACCAGCAAUAUUUUGCGCUUCGGCAGCCAAAUUCGCUUGCCUGAAAUCUCGAAAUUUAAUGUCCAAUUUGAUUCUACCCACAAAGAAUUGGCAAAUCCUCGUCUAAAGCGUCUCUACUAUGUUGUUAAUGAAGAGUUUAAGGCUAAGUUUCAAGUAGUACAGCAAAUGCAUGUCGAUUUUGAUGGCACUGAAGAAUCGUAUCAGCGCUUAUUACAAGCUCAACGUGCUGUCAAUGGUGUGGCGGAAAAAUUAAAAACUUUGCGAAUAAUGUUCCAAUUUUAUGCGUCACAAAAAGCUGAUGUUAUAGCUAUGACUUCAACUUUUGCUGCCAAAACGAAUUUUCUCUUUCGCUUGCUGCAAAGUAAAGUCGUUAUUUUCGAAGAGGCUGCCGAAAUAUUGGAGUCACAUGUGUUGGCCUGUUUAACGCCAUACACCGAACAUGUUGUCAUGAUUGGCGAUCAUAUGCAAUUGCAGCCAUACACCUCGGGUCAUCGCUUUAAUAGCACCUACGAAUUAAAUAUUUCCUUAUUUGAACGACUAUUUGUUAACAAUCUGAAAGGAGCCACACUUAAUAUACAAUAUCGUAUGCGCCCUUGCAUUGCAGACCUCAUUCAACCGACUUUUUACACUGAUCUGAAUAAUGAUGCGAGCGUUGAGAACUAUCCAAAAGUUCGUAAUAUGCUCACCGACUUAUAUUUUUACACCCAUAAUGAAUGCGAAUGUCAAUCAGAGACUCCUGUGCCCACUAGCGGAUAAUUCUUCUAGCAGUUUGACAAACUCACCCAGAAAAAUAGUUCGGACGACCUCGGGCUAGCGAAAACUCAGGUUACUCUUUCAAAGUGGGUCUUAAUAGCCCGAGAACUGACAGAAGAAACCGAAAUUAAGCAGUCUGGGCACCCGCUGGUUACCAAAAACAGACCUGAAGUUUAGUUUGUUGUAAAUUUUGCAUCUCAAAUAAUUCGAAGAUGAAUGCUCGAUCUAUAAUGAUUUUGAGGUAACUGAAACUUUGAAUUUGGCGAAACAUUUAAUUGAAAAGGCUGCCU